UACGGAGGGGGCUAGCGUUGUUCGGAAUUACUGGGCGUAAAGCGCGCGUAGGCGGCUUUGUAAGUUAGAGGUGAAAGCCCGGAGCUCAACUCCGGAACUGCCUUUAAGACUGCAUCGCUAGAAUUGUGGAGAGGUGAGUGGAAUUCCGAGUGUAGAGGUGAAAUUCGUAGAUAUUCGGAAGAACACCAGUGGCGAAGGCGACUCACUGGACACAUAUUGACGCUGAGGCGCGAAAGCGUGGGGAGCAAACAGG
rnacentral:rRNA from 1 species